rnacentral:rRNA from 1 species
GAUUUCUGACUUGAUACAUUUUGCCGGCCGCUCUAUGGCGUGUUAGUGCAUUCUGUUCUGGUCAUCUUUCCAAUCGCUAGUUGCUUUUCUUUAUUGAUUGGCAAUUGGUAUUGGAUCUUUUACUUUGAAAAAAUUAGAGUGUUUCAAGCAGGCUUUUCUGCCAUGAAUACAUUAGCAUGGAAUAAUAAUUUAGGACUUCGGUUCUAUUUUGUUGGUUUCUAGGACUGAAGUAAUGAUUGAUAGGGAUAGUUGGGGGUGCUAGUAUUCAGCGGCCAGAGGUGAAAUUCUCGGAUUCGCUGAAGACUAACUUAUGCGAAAGCAUU